UUUAAAACUGAACUUAACUAAAAUGCCCUUAGUCAACAAUUUUUUUAAAUAUAUAAAAAUACAAAAUUUUGUAAAAAGACCAAAAAGGACAAUGAAUACUGACGUGGUCGUUUUCGCCAUUUACACGACUACAACAACUCUACAGCACAUUCCAACAAUUUCAGAAGUCCUUCAUCGUCUCCUCUCUCAUCUGCCUCCCGUUCUUGAGAGAAGAGGCAACAAACCCUAGCCCUUGGUUUCGAUGGCGAUCACGAUCUCACGUUCUUCACAGACAGAUCAAAACCUCGCGAUAUAUUUCAUCCACUUCGUCGAUUCAGAAACUGAGCACAGUAGGUCAUUACUUGUUGGCCAGUUUGCAGGGAUGGAAUUUGGUAUCUUAGCAACAUAUGCAGAACUGUGUAGGGUAUGACUAGGAUGACUUGUAUAGGCUGCUUGCUUUUUGACUAGGAUGACUUGAUGAAAGUGGUUCUACAUCGGUUUUUAUUUUGGUGAAAGUGGUACCUUUGUUGAAGGUGAAACUGAGUUUUGUUUAUGAUGAUUAUUUUGGUAAAUUAACUAUUCCAGUUCCUGCAAGUUUUUGAAGCUACAUUGGAUUUUUUUUUUUUUUGGUUUGAUAAAUAUGUCAUUGAUAUAGUUGAAUGGUUUGAUAAA